rnacentral:rRNA from 1 species
GAUGAACGCUGGCGGCGUGCCUAAUACAUGCAAGUCGAGCGAACAGACGAGGAGCUUGCUCCUCUGACGUUAGCGGCGGACGGGUGAGUAACACGUGGAUAACCUACCUAUAAGACUGGGAUAACUUCGGGAAACCGGAGCUAAUACCGGAUAAUAUAUUGAACCGCAUGGUUCAAUAGUGAAAGACGGUUUUGCUGUCACUUAUAGAUGGAUCCGCGCCGCAUUAGCUAGUUGGUAAGGUAACGGCUUACCAAGGCGACGAUGCGUAGCCGACCUGAGAGGGUGCUCGGCCACACUGGAACUGAGACACGGUCCAGACUCCUACGGGAGGCAGCAGUAGGGAAUCUUCCGCAAUGGGCGAAAGCCUGACGGAGCAACGCCGCGUGAGUGAUGAAGGUCUUCGGAUCGUAAAACUCUGUUAUUAGGGAAGAACAAAUGUGUAAGUAACUAUGCACGUCUUGACGGUACCUAAGCAGAAAGCCACGGCUAACUACGU